UACGUAGGCGGGCAGCUCAGUCAGUGGUGAAAGUUUGCAGCUCAACUGUAAAAUUGCCAUUGAUACUGGUUGUCUUGAAUUAAUGUGAAGUGGUUAGAAUAUGUAGUGUAGCGGUGAAAUGCAUAGAUAUUACAUGGAAUACCAAUUGCGAAGGCAGAUCACUAACAUUAUAUUGACGCUGAUGGACGAAAGCGUGGGGAGCGAACAGGAUUAGAUACCCUGGUAGUCC
rnacentral:rRNA from 1 species